rnacentral:rRNA from 1 species
GACGAACGCUGGCGGCGUGCUUAACACAUGCAAGUCGAACGGAAAGGCCCUGCUUUUGUGGGGUGCUCGAGUGGCGAACGGGUGAGUAACACGUGAGUAACCUGCCCUUGACUUUGGGAUAACUUCAGGAAACUGGGGCUAAUACCGGAUAGGAGCUCCUGCUGCAUGGUGGGGGUUGGAAAGUUUCGGCGGCUGGGGAUGGACUCGCGGCUUAUCAGCUUGUUGGUGGGGUAGUGGCUUACCAAGGCUUGGAAGGGUAGCCGGCCUGAGAGGGUGACCGGCCACAUUGGGACUGAGAUACGGCACAGACUCCUAUGGGAGGCAGCAGUGGGGAAUAUUGUACAAUGGGCGGAAGCCUGAUGCAGCAAAGCCGCGUGCGGGAUGACGGCCUUCGGGUUGUAAACCGCUGUCGCCUGUGACGAAGCGUGAGUGACGGUAAUGGGUAAAGAAGCACCGGCUAACUACGUG